UAUAACAUUUAGAUAGAGCCUCUCCAUGAAA
rnacentral:piRNA from 1 species